CAUUAAUCCAUCUCGUGAACACAUUGCACAGCAGAGAAGAAUGAUGGCUGAGGAUAUCCUUCUUGCAUCAGAGUCAAAGGAGGACUUUUGCUCCCAUUGUGGCCUAAACAUGCCUCUGUCACUGCAAAAAGAAACACUGAAAAUCACUUGGAUUGAAUGUGAUCAGUGCCAGAGAUGGUUCCACGCACCUUGCCUUGGGUUGACUCCAGACAGGAUUCCAGCAGAAAAGGAGGAAUGGUGGUGUGACAUGUGCUUGGUUGCUUGUGAAAAAAAAAAAACUCACCUGUAGUAGAUGGGGCCUUAUGAAUAUGAUGUACUACAGCAAACAGAAUGUUAAAGGGUCAUUUCGUUGAUUUUUUGUGAAUAUUUUCAGGUAUUAAAAGCAUGCUAUGGCCAUAUAAAAUGUUUUUUUCUUAAAAAACUCACCUGUAGUAGAUAGGACAUUACAAAUAUGAUGUACUACAGCAAACAGAAUGGUAAAGGGUCAUUUCGUUGAUUUUUUGUGAAUAUUUUCAGUUAUUAAAAGCAUGCUAUGGCCAUAUAAAAUGUUUUUUCCUAAAAAACUCACCUGUAGUAGAUGGGGCCUUAUGAAUAUGAUGUACUACA